GGCAGCAGGCGGCAGGGAUGAAGCCUUAGUCUGGGAAAACUGCAAACCCUCAAGGCCACCGUCUUCACCUUCUGACUUGGUCAAAUGGAAUCACCCCUCUACGGCCCGCCACCUGGCCUCCCCCAAACAAACCUCUUCUCCUUCCGGGGCUGGAAAGAAGAGGUUCAUUUCACCUCCUCAUCUCAGAAUUCAAACAAGAUGCAUCUAAACCCUGCAAUGAAACCACCCAUCAUGAGACACUUCCACAAAGUGACACAUCAUAUGUUAUUAAACUGGCCACUGAGCUAUGAAGAUACCCCAAGCCAGGCCCACCAAGAGCAUGGUGUUUUCCCCAGGCCUGAGACAGAAGUUGGACUGCGGACACCAUGGACCAUCCAUCACAGGAACCUGAGACUCAAGUGACUCAGAUUUGUACUAACAUGGAGAGACAAGUUGGAAAUUCAAUAAUGACCUCUGUUAAUGUUCUGCCUUCCAGAAAGGCC